rnacentral:rRNA from 1 species
UACGGGGGGGGUAAGCGUUGUUCGGAAUUACUGGGCGUAAAGGGCUCGUAGGCGGCCAACUAAGUCGGACGUGAAAUCCCUCGGCUUAACCGGGGAACUGCGUCUGAUACUGGAUGGCUUGAGAUUGGGAGAGGGAUGCGGAAUUCCAGGUGUAGCGGUGAAAUGCGUAGAUAUCUGGAGGAACACCGGUGGCGAAGGCGGCAUCCUGGACCAACACUGACGCUGAGGAGCGAAAGCCAGGGGAGCAAACGGG